AGGGAGGGGGUGAGGGAGGGGGGAUUCCUAAUAUUUUGACUGCACAGUGGCGCCCUCACCCUCCGAGCAUCUGGCGAUGCAGCUGCUGCGCACGCAGACGAAUAACGGCGGAACACAGUGGCCUGUAAACACACUGGUACCAGGGAGGAGCAACCAGCUGUAACAUCUGGCUCUGUGGGACUCUGCCAGCUGCUGCGUCCCGGCGCACGACAGACUCGGGGGGAACUCCGCUACAGGACAUUAGACUCGGCUGGAUAUUCGCUUGUCCAGCGGCCCAUCGUUUGGAUGUUCACGAACCGCGUGUGUGACGUUUGCAAGUGGUUUUGCCAGUCUUACCACCAGAGGGCCUCCUCAUUUCCAUUCCGCCGCGUGGAGCAACUCGUGGUGAGGAUGAACUUCCAGUUCAUACCAGACGCACAGUGGCUCAGUCAUCAAAAAAUCGACAGGAUUAUUAAAUUUAUUGGAAUAUUUUUUACAAAUAAAGAACAUCCAGUUGAAGGUUC